CAGUCGCCGCGGUAAUACGUAGGGUGCAAGCGUUAAUCGGAAUUACUGGGCGUAAAGCGCGCGUAGGUGGUUUGUUAAGUUGGAUGUGAAAUCCCCGGGCUCAACCUGGGAACUGCAUCCAAAACUGGCAAGCUAGAGUAUGGUAGAGUGUGGUGGAAUUUCCUGUGUAGCGGUGAAAUGCGUAGAUAUAGGAAGGAACACCAGUGGCGAAGGCGACCACCUGGACUGAUACUGACACUGAGGUGCGAAAGCGUGGGGAGCAAACAGGAUUAGAUACCCCAGUAGUCCCUGUCUCUUAUAC
rnacentral:rRNA from 1 species